rnacentral:SRP_RNA from 1 species
GCCGGGCAUGCUGGUGCAUGCCUGUAAUCCCAGCUACUCAGGAGGCUGAGGCAGGAGAAUCGCUUGAACCCGGGAGGUGGAGGUUGCAGUGAGCCAAGAUUGCACCACUGCACUCCAGCCUGGGCGACAGAGCGAGACUCCGUCUCAA